rnacentral:rRNA from 1 species
AUUGAACGCUGGCGGCAUGCUUUACACAUGCAGGUCGAACGGCAGCGCGGGCUUCGGCCUGGCGGCGAGUGGCGAACGGGUGAGUAAUGCAUCGGAACGUGCCCAGUAGUGGGGGAUAGCCCGGCGAAAGCCGGAUUAAUACCGCAUACGACCUGAGGGUGAAAGCGGGGGACCGAAAGGCCUCGCGCUAUUGGAGCGGCCGAUGUCGGAUUAGCUAGUUGGUGGGGUAAAGGCUUACCAAGGCGACGAUCCGUAGCUGGUCUGAGAGGACGACCAGCCACACUGGGACUGAGACACUGCCCAGACUCCUACGGGAGGCAGCAGUGGGGAAUUUUGGACAAUGGGGGCAACCCUGAUCCAGCCAUGCCGCGUGCGGGAAGAAGGCCUUCGGGUUGUAAACCGCUUUUGUUCGGGAAGAAAUCCUCUGGGCUAAUACCCCGGGGGGAUGACGGUACCGGAAGAAUAAGCACCGGCUAACUACGUG